GAUCAACCUCUCUUUCAGCACAAAAGGCUUUAAAAGAAGAAAUACAUGAUCAAAAUAAAAAAAAGGCAUAAUAGAUUGAGCUAUUAUCAUGACUAGUCCUUUCUUCUGUUGAUUUUUUAAAAGAAACUUGGAAGAAAUCUUUUCUUUGAAAUUUCUGGUUCAAGUUUGGGUCUAUUUGAAGCUGUUAGUGCUGUUGUUGGGCUGUCAUCUCUCAUUCAUUGCUGAAAUCCUUGCUUUCUUUGUUCUUUGCUGUUAUCCAGAAACUGUCGGAGAAGUGCAGCUCAAAAUGCUGAGCAUAACGCCAUGUUUUGGCAAAUUUGACCAUUAAUUGGUCCGAUUAGCAAAGUUGAGAUUAAUAGUGGAGUAAGAGCAUGUUUGAUAGAUUCAGGCACAGUUUAAAGAUUAGCCUUUCCAUUUUAAAUUGUUUACUUGUUGGAUAUUAUAUUGCUGUAAUUAAAUGAUCAUUUGUUCCUCAUGAAUAUUUGAAUGCAUUGGUGUAAAGCUUUUAUUUUAUUUA